UACGUAGGGGGCAAGCGUUGUCCGGAAUCAUUGGGCGUAAAGCGCGCGUAGGCGGCCCGGUAAGUCCGCUGUAAAAGUCAGGGGCUCAACCCUUGAACGCCGGUGGAUACUGCCGGGCUAGAGUCCGGAAGAGGCGAGUGGAAUUCCUGGUGUAGCGGUGGAAUGCGCAGAUAUCAGGAGGAACACCAAUAGCGAAGGCAGCUCGCUGGGACGGUACUGACGCUGAGGCGCGAAAGCGUGGGGAGCGAACAGG
rnacentral:rRNA from 1 species